GAAAAGAAUCGCUCCUCCACUCCUCCAUUCGUUUCUGAUGGUCUAACCCGACAAACCCUAAUUUCCCGUCCCCCACUUUGGUCUCAUCACCAAAGAAAUCCCUCCUCCACUCCGGCAAAUCUCAGCUGCAACUCCGGUGAAUCGACUCACCGUUGCACCUCCUCCCUGUCGUCGGUGUUCAUCUUCCUUCUCCUUACAAGAAAUCUGGGUAUCUCAAUCUAAUCACUCUCUUCUCGCAGAAACAAAGUGAAUCACCUCACCGGAAUCUCGAGUCCGCGUCUUGCCGUUUCAAACAGAGAUAUCUUCGAUUUUGUUACCUUUCAUCUUGAUUCCUCGACCUAAUCGAUUUUAAGGUGAUGCAGUGAAGACGAUCCUUGAUUUCAUCACAGAGUGUGGAGCUUCACAUUUGGUUACUGACUUCUUUCCUUUACCAAAAAUUAGAAGCUGUAGAGACGAGGUUGUGAAGAGAACGAGUGAUUCAUCAUCCACCGUCACGACUCAAACCUUGAAGGUUAAGUGUUCUUGCUCUAUGUUCUUGUGCAGAAAGUAACCUCUGGCGACCCUAAAUUAAUCGUUCUCUCCUUGCUCUUUCCCAUACACUAUGUUAUGUUCAAGUUGUUGACUAUUGUGGCUACUGUCAUCAUAUUUAAGGAUAUGCACAAGAGGUUGUUAAAAUGGUUGUCUUCUUUUCAAGUUCCACCUCCGGGUAAAGGUUUCUUAUAUAAUAGACCAUUCCAAAUGGGAAGUUCUUGGUCUUACGCAUGCACCAGACUACACUUUCCUUGCUUGACUAGUGGAUACUUAGUGAGAGUUGUUAUGAUUUUGGAUUUAGUUACCGGUAAUCGUUAUGUAUUUGUUACGUCGGAUUCUUGUAAACAAUAGUAAAUGAAUUUUAGCUGUGAAUUGUUUCACUCUUUUCUCAUGA